rnacentral:rRNA from 1 species
AUUGAACGCUGGCGGCAUGCUUUACACAUGCAAGUCGAACGGCAGCGCGGUCUUCGGCCUGGCGGCGAGUGGCGAACGGGUGAGUAAUGCAUCGGAACGUGCCCAGUAGUGGGGGAUAGGGCGGCGAAAGCCGGAUUAAUACCGCAUACGACCUGAGGGUGUAAGGGGGGGAGCGAAAGGCCUCGCGCCAUUGGAGCGGCCGAUGUCGGAUUAGCUAGUUGGUGGGGUAAAGGCUUACCAAGGCGACGAUCCGUAGCUGGUCUGAGAGGACGAGCAGCCACACUGGGACUGAGACACGGCCCAGACUCCUACGGGAGGCAGCAGUGGGGAAUUUUGGACAAUGGGGGCAAGCCUGAUCCAGCCAUGCCGCGUGCGGGAAGAAGGCCUUCGGGUUGUAAACCGCUUUUGUUCGGGAAGAAAAGCUGUGGGCUAAUACCCCGGGGGGAUGACGGUACCGGAAGAAUAAGCACCGGCUAACUACGUG